rnacentral:rRNA from 1 species
CUGGUUGAUCCUGCCAGAGGUUACUGCUAUCGAGGUUCGACUAAGCCAUGCGAGUCGAAUGUAGCAAUACAUGGCGAACUGCUCAGUAACACGUGGACAACCUGCCCUUAGGUUGGGUAUAAACCCGGGAAACUGGGUAUAAUACCCGAUAGGUCUCGAUUGCUGGAAUGCAUCGAGAUUUAAAGCUCCGGCGCCUAAGGAUGGGUCUGCGGCCUAUCAGGUAGUAGUGGGUGUAGCGUACCUACUAGCCUACGACGGGUACGGGUUGUGAGAGCAAGAGCCCGGAGAUGGAUUCUGAGACACGAAUCCAGGCCCUACGGGGUGCAGCAGGCGCGAAAACUUUACAAUGCUGGCAACAGCGAUAAGGGAACCUCGAGUGCCAGGUUACAAAUCUGGCUGUCGAGAUGCCUAAAAAGCAUUUCAUAGCAAGGGCCGGGCAAGACCGGUGCCAGCCGCCGCGGUAACACCGGCGGCUCGAGUGGUAACCGUUAUUAUUGGGUCUAAAGGGUCUGUAGCCGGCCGGAUAAGUCUCUUGAGAAAUCUGGCAGCUUAACUGUCAGGCUUUCAGGAGAUACUGUCUGGCUCGAGGCCGGGAGAGGUGAGAGGUACUUCAUGCGUAGGGGUGAAAUCCUUUGUUCCU